AUUUAUUUUAAGGAUUUCAAGACCAUUUCUUCUUGAAAUUUCGGUGGAAAACAGCCAUGGAAGAGGGUUUAGAGCUUGUCUUCCAUAUUUUAGCUUCAAAUCAAGAAACGAAGAAAACAAAAUUGUAUCGGGGGAAAACGAAAGUAGUCGAGUAGUCGAUCGUGUCUGUCGAUAUCCGAGAUUUUGAGAUUGUUACGAGCUCAGGAAUUCGUCAGAAAAGCUCAUCACACUAUCAAAUAACUACGGUAUUUUAAACUAAAACUUCUUUUGAAACUAUGACAUGUAUAAACUAGCUUUGAAGGUUGUUUAAUUCGAAGAUGUAUAUAUUAAAGCCUUGCGAAAAUGGCUUAACAUCUUGUUAUGUCUGGUUUUGGAUUGAAUUAUGAAUUAUACAUGACUUGAUAAUAGUUAGUAUUUUAUGGAUAGUAUUUUACAUGCGAA